AUUCCAGCUCCAAUAGCGUAUAUUUAAGUUGUCGCAGUUAAAAAGCUCGUAGUUGGACCUUGGGACGUCACGGUCGGUCCGCCUUCUUGGUGUGCACUGGCCCUCACGUCCCUUCUGCCGGCGGCGUGUUCCUGGCCUUAAUUGGCUGGGUCGCGGUUCCGGCGCCGUUACUUUGAAAAAAUUAGAGUGCUCAAAGCAAGCCUACGCUCUGAAUACAUUAGCAUGGAAUAACGCGAUAGGAGUCUGGUCCUGUUCCGUUGGCCUUCGGGACCGGAGUAAUGAUUAAUAGGGACUGUCGGGGGCAUUCGUAUUUCAUUGUCAGAGGUGAAAUUCUUGGAUUUAUGGAAGACGAACCACUGCGAAAGCAUUUGCCAAGGAUGUUUUCAUUG
rnacentral:rRNA from 1 species